rnacentral:rRNA from 1 species
AUUGAACGCUGGCGGCAGGCCUAACACAUGCAAGUCGAACGGUAACAGGAAACAGCUUGCUGUUUCGCUGACGAGUGGCGGACGGGUGAGUAAUGUCUGGGAAACUGCCUGUUGGAGGGGGAUAACUACUGGAAACGGUAGCUAAUACCGCAUAACGUCGCAAGACCAAAGAGGGGGACCUUCGGGCCUCUUGCCAUCGGAUGUGCCCAGAUGGGAUUAGCUAGUAGGUGGGGUAACGGCUCACCUAGGCGACGAUCCCUAGCUGGUCUGAGAGGAUGACCAGUCACACUGGAACUGAAACACGGUCCAGACUCCUACGGGAGGCAGCAGUGGGGAAUAUUGCACAAUGGGCGCAAGCCUGAUGCAGCCAUGUCGCGUGUAUGAAGAAGGCCUUCGGGUUGUAAAGUACUUUCAGCGGGGAGGAAGGGAGUAAAGUUAAUACCUUUGCUCAUUGACGUUACCCGCAGGAGAAGCACCGGCUAACUCCGUGCCAGCCGCCGCCGUAA